rnacentral:rRNA from 1 species
GAUGAACGCUGGCGGCGUGCCUAAUACAUGCAAGUCGAGCGAACAGACGAGGAGCUUGCUCCUCUGACGUUAGCGGCGGACGGGUGAGUAACACGUGGAUAACCUACCUAUAAGACUGGGAUAACUUCGGGAAACCGGAUCUAAUACCGGAUAAUAUAUUGAACCGCAUGGUUCAAUAGUGAAAGAGGGUUUUGCUGUCACUAUUAGAUGGUUCCGCGCCGCAUUAGCUAGUUGGUAAGGUAACGGCUUACCAAGGCAACGAUGCGUAGCCGACCUGAGAGGGUGAUCAGCCACACUGGAACUGAGACACGGUCCAGACUCCUACGGGAGGCAGCAGUAGGGAAUCUUCCGCAAUGGGCGAAAGCCUGACGGAGCAACGCCGCGUGAGUGAUGAAGGUCUUCGGAUCGUAAAGCUCUGUUAUUAGGGAAGAACAAAUGUGUAAGUAACUAUGCACGUCUUGACGGUACCUAAUCAGAAAGCCACGGCUAACUACGUG